rnacentral:lncRNA from 1 species
AAGAGUCGUAAAUAAGUCGAGUAAUGUCGUCUUGUCAUAAAUAGUCGAAUGUUCCCGAAAGGAACGCCAAAAGGCUGACUUUGCAAAAACGGCAAUUUUGGUAAAUUUUAAUUUUUGACCGGUUAACUAACGCAGCCUUAAAAUCUUCACCCCCGGGGUGCUGAAAGGCCGUGUUUGUAAAACUAGGUCUUUUAUUUUAAUCUAAAAAAAAGAGUCAGUCGUCAAGUGAAUACCAUUCGGUUUUUUGUCAAAAUAAGCCGGCCCAGCCUCAAAAUUCAUGUAAAAUUAGGAAGGGGUCAUUUUUUCAAAAACAACCAUUUGGUUGAAAUUGGCAAGUAGUGGAAGGAAUUUGUCAGUUCUAUUUUUAUCAUGAAAAUGGAAAAUUCCAAAAAAAAAGUCUUAUUAUCGUUUAUCUUUUAUUUGCACGAACUACGAC